AUUGAACGCUGGCGGCAGGCUUAACACAUGCAAGUCGAGCGAGCGGCGGACGGGUGAGUAAUGUCUGGGAAACUGCCUGAAGGAGGGGAAUAACUACUGGAAACGGUAGCUAAUCCCGCAUACCAUCAGAUGUGCCCAGAUGGGAUUAGCUAGUAGGUGGGGAAAUGGUUCAACUAGGCGACGAUCCCUCGCUGGUCAGAGAGGAUGACCAGCCACACUGGAACGUAGAUGCGGUCCAUGCUCCUCAGUGAGGCAGCAGUGGGGAAAAUUGCACAAUGGGCGAAAGCCUGAGGCAGCCAUGCCGCGUGUGUGAAGAAGGCCUUCGGGUUGUAAAGCACUUUCAGCGAGGAGGAGUUACUCGCAGAAGAAGCACCGGCUAACUCCGUGCCAGCAGCCGCGGUAAUAC
rnacentral:rRNA from 1 species